UACGAAGGGUGCAAACGUUGCUCGGAAUUAUUGGGCGUAAAGCGCACGUAGGCGGCUUUGCAAGUCCCAUGUGAGAUCCCACGGCUCAACCGUGGAAGUGCAUGGGAAACUGCAGAGCUUGAGUACUUAAGAGGAUCGCGGAAUUCCCGGUGUAGAGGUGAAAUUCGUAGAUAUCGGGAGGAACACCAGUGGCGAAGGCGGCGAUCUGGGAAGAUACUGACGCUGAGGUGCGAAAGCGUGGGGAGCAAACAGG
rnacentral:rRNA from 1 species